rfam:Camelus ferus unplaced genomic scaffold scaffold706, whole genome shotgun sequence.
GAGGAUAUAGCUCAGUGGUAGAGAGAAUGCUUAGCAUGCACAAGGUCCUAGGUUCAAUCCCCAGUACCUCCA